ACAGCCGGAUCGCCUAAUCCCGGGCGCCUCGCCCGGGAGCCGGGGACCCACACAGGAACCUGGGGUUAAGGCCUCGCGCCCGGGCUGCUCCCGCCCGCACCCGUCAGCUAACCCGGUCGGCGAGAUGGAGAGGAGUG
rnacentral:sRNA from 2 species